GUCCUCGCCUUCCUGGGCCUCUGGGCCCGGGUGGUAUGCCAAACCUCAAGUUUAUAUUGGAGUGGCUUUUGGAACUUCCGUAGAGGUUUUCGAGGCUCAUGAGGACCUCACCUAGAGCUAAUUCACUGAGCAAUACCUUGCUUUAUUGUGCUUUGCUUUAUUGCGGGCAUCAGAUGUGUUUUUUACAAAAGGAAGGCAAGACCCUCCACCAGCAAAAAGAGUAGGAGUGACUUUAUUGCAUUGGUCUGGAACCCAAUUCGCAAUACCUCUGAGAUCCAAGAGCUGAAGAGUCUCAGGAUCUUCAGAGGAUUUGUGCCUGUGGAAAUUCGGCAGAAGGUUUAUAUGCAGACCCUUUUCAGAAACAAAAAUGGCCACACUGAUGACAAUAGUAAAGCAUCUAUUCAACCAAGGAAGGAGGGGUCAUCUGUACAUGAGAGGAAGAACCCGAUUUCGUGGGAACGCCACACUAAGCAUCUCAUCAUACACUCUCUCCCUCCAUAUCUCGGCAAUUUCACCCAUGAUGGCAGGUUCGGUGACCACUUAACCAAUACGCUGAAGACUCCCACAUUCUUCUGUCCACUGAGCUCCGGCCUCAUGUAUCCAGUUGUCUGCGUGAUAGUUUCUUGGGAACACUUAAAAGGCAUUUUACACUCUACAUGGCCAAAACUCAUGGCCUUCUCCCUCUCCCCCAAGCCUGACUCUUGAGUCCCCUGAUUUCCAUUGUGGAAGACAGCAGCCAGGGAACCGUCCUUGACUUCUUCUUCCACACUCCUUCUAUCACCAGCAAGUCCCGUCCAGUCUGCUUCCUAAACAACUCCUCCAUCUGCCCACUCACUUCAUUUCCACCCCAACCCCAUUCAACUUUCCAUCAUCUCUCACUUCCUGACUGGUCUGGCCUCUUCCAAUCUGUUCUCCACACUGUAGCCCUACUGGUCUUUGCAAUAUGCUAAUCCAUAAUUACUUAACCUUGGCUUAAAUACCUUCAGUGGCUCCCCAUGGUUCUUAGGAUAAAGACAAAACUCUCUGUCAUGACCUGUGCAACUUGUACCCACCAGCCUCUAUAUGCACUAAGCUCCACCUUCACUCGCCUGCCUCCUGUCCCUCAUCUUUGCCAUCCCUCAUCAUCUAUCACCUGCCCCAGGGCCUUUGCAUAUGCUAUUCUCUUUACCUGGUAAGCUCUUCUGUUCUCUGAGAGCUCAGCUCAGCAAUCCCUUCCUAAGGGAAGCCUUCACUGAGCCCCCUAACUAAGGCAAAUUCCCGUUAUAACCUCUCAGGGCCACAUACUUCUAUUUUUAGUAUUUUCCACAGGUGCAAUUUUACAUAUUUUGGGGUGAUUAUGUGCUUAAUGUUUCUCUUCCCCUCAAUACUAAGAGCUCUUUGAGGCCAGGGACCAUAAAUUUUUUUUUUUGGCCCACAGUUGUCUCCCCCAUUGUCUAGCAUGUGCUGCCACAUGGUAAGUGUUUUGAACGAGUGGAUAAGAUGAAAUGAAUGAAUGCAUACACGAAUGAAGGGACCUGAGGUUAAAAGCAGGACAUGAAUUAUAAAGGGGAAAUUAUAUGGAACCAUUUUGAGAAAGUUGCUGAUUCGAGGGGCUGCAAGCAUGGAAAGAGAGGGGAAAGACAGGAUUUAUCUUCUGUUUCCUCCUCUGCUACCUUCAUCUCCCUCUCUCCUGUCCUAAGUCUCUGCCCUGGACCAGCUCUGGAUGAGGGACUAGGAGAGAUGAGGGUAGGGUUAGAGGAUCCCGGUGGGAAGGAGUCCUUGGCAGCUGUGGGUCUGUAGAAGCGAGAGGGAAGGGAAUGAAAUCUCAGACAGCAGGAAGGGUAGAAGCCCCUGGGCCAACCAACUUCUAGGCCGCUAUCCUCUGCCUGGCUCUAACAUAGCAGCCGAUCUGUGGCCCUCGGGCCCUCAGCAGGCUAAGGCCUGGGCAUCGUUUAGGAAUGUUUGUAUUUGCCAGUGACACAAGUGUCUUUUUCUUUUUCUUAUUAUUUCUUUCACAGAGCUCCAGGGUUUCAGUUGCCAUGGUAGCACUCUUCCUUGUUACCUGUGUUCCUUUUAAAUUUUCUUAAAUCUCUUUCUUUCUCACUGCUCAAGCCAGAAUCUUGAUGGGAAGUUUCAAAGUUAUUUAACCACCGAAGGGACCAUUAUUUCUUCACUUUUAUCUUAUUUCAUGUAUUUUCUAUAGGUGCAUUUGAAGAACCAAUGCUUGUCCAUAUCAAAGCAGCUGCUCUAGUGCUAAAACCCUUGGCUAAUUAGAGUGGUUUUGUUAGGAUUCUCUAAUGAUGUCCACUUCUUUUUCCCCAUGGCACAGAGCUGUCUGCCGCCAAAGACUUUUAGGAUGGAUGUCAGUGACCUGUAUGGCAUGUUGAGUUUUUUCUCCCGUGGCACAGGGUUUGAUGUCAGCAGCUUUGGGGCAACUUCAAUCAAUGAGCAUAAAGAACGGAAAAAUUAAAGCCAAAAAAUGGAGGUCUGACCCCAGGAAUACAGACAGGCAAACAAGCUAGUAUUCUGACGCUGACCUUCAACAUGUCCUUUGGUUAAGCCCUCAGAGGAUGAUUUCAAAUAGGCCACAAAAGCACAUUGCAAGUGAAACCCCGGCAAACUACAUUCGGACUUCCAAGAAACUGUGUCUAGGCAUUUUUAAUUGCUGUGUCCUCUUGCUGGAAGUAAAAGAACUUGAUGUUUCAGCCUCACUCCCUGGAUAUCUUCUCUCUAUGGGAGCAAAAAGCAACUCUUGGCAUAUUCCAGCCUCUAGAAGUAGCUGAAUGGUCUGCAUUUCUUCCUCACAUAGUUGAAUAUAUUUUUAAUUGUUCCUGUAUUCAUUCAUUUGAUAAAUAGGUAGUAUAUGCCUUCUGUGGACCAGGCACUGAGCUGAAGUCUAGGGAAUCCUAAAAUCAGCAGAAAUUCCUUUCUCUUAAAGACUCUCAGUCUAAUGGGGGAUAUGGUGAUAUAUGCAUACAAUAACAGAAUUCUAUUAACCAGGUGUUCCUUAUCCACCAAUCACUAUUUUUUAAAUUAGAUUUUUAAAAAGCAAAGCAAAGCAAUCAACACAGUUAAAACAUCAAAUAAGACCAUAGGGUUUAUAACAAAACUUAAAAGAGUACCUUAGGGCUUAUAACAAAACCACUUUCGACUUUUUCAGCUAUUUCUAUACACACUUUCCUCCACACUGCUAAAUAACAACUGCAGUUGAUUGAUUUUUAAAUCUUAGAUAUUUAUCUACUGAAUUCCUACUAUGGAAGAUGAUGAUUUAAUUUUCAUAAGUACUACUGCUACCCCUUUAUACUUUUUUCUCCCCAUGCUGUCAAUAGAGAUGUACUAAAAUUGUUAAUCAGAUUAAUAUUCAUUGACUAGAUUAUUAAGCUCACUUGAAAUUGUUCAGAGCUAGACCACUUGAUGUACUAUGAUUAUUUUCCCUGGAGUUAAAAAUUGGUUGGUUAUUUAUUUGCUUAGUUUUCUAUGCAUUAAUCACCAAGUCAGCCUGCUGCAACCUGUGCUGGUAGAUCUGACCUAGGACUUCACUUCAAAUUCCCUUCAGUUCAUUCUGAGAAUUUCCUUAGCAUUUCUCCUAUUUCUAGAUGCCAUGUCUUUCCUUUUCCUUGAUUUCUCUCCUGUUUAGGUGGAACACAUUUUCCAAGAGCUUCCUGAGAAAGAGUAUGCAGGAUGUAAAAUUUUUUGAGAGCUUGCAUGUUUAAAAAUAUUUUAUACCUAACAAUUGAAAAAUUGACUGAGUAUAUAACUCUAGAUUGAGAAUAUUUUUACCGCAAAAUUUUGAAGAUAUUUUUCUACGGUCUUCCAGAUUGAAAGGUCUGAUAAUUCUGAUUCCAUUUUGACUCUUGAUUCUUUCUAUCUCCUUUUUCUCUGUAGGAGCCUUUUAGGAGCUCCUUAUCCUGGUGUCCUAAAAACUUGUAAGGAUGGACCUGGGUGUGGGUCAGUUUUCACCCACUGUGCUGGCACUUGGGAGGUGGUUUCAAUCUGGUAACUCAUGUUCUUUGGUUUUGAAAAUUUUUCUACUAUUAUUUUUAUUAUUUAUUUUUUAACAUUUUAUUGUUAGUUUCA